UCUUAUCUGGUGCUGCAGUCCUGGUCCAGCCCACAGUCAGCAUUCACCCCCUGAAAUUUGGCCUCCUUUCCUUCUGCCUUACUGCACCUCAUAUGUGUCAGAUUUCCUCUUAGUUAAGAGUUGGUCUCCUGGAGGGCACCAAUCCAAAUGAGUUCAUGUCUGCACUGAACUAUUUCCUUCUCAGAACAGUCAUGAAACAACUUAGCAAGCAAAUAGGGCAGGGAGAGCUGCUUAAUGGAUCCCUUUAAUCGACAGAAAUCUAGUUCUUAAUGGAGCAAUGUCUGUCAAUCAGACCAAGUACAAAACACUCAUCAAAUUCUCUCCUUUCUCUUCCUCUUAACUUUUUAAAGCUGUUGCCUCCUUCCUUGCUGAAUGAAGGUGAGAACAGGAGUGGGAGUGAGAAUGAAAGUAAACUGCAGUUCUGGAAGCAAAUUUUCAAAAUGUCAGGAGUGAUGAAAUACUGAGCAGUCAAGGGGAUCCUCUCAGGAAUACUGGAGAGUGAAACCAGAGCUGGAAUCUCCUUGGUUGUUGGCCUAUGUGCCUAUAAGAAGUUGCCACAGAGUGCUGAAGGACAAAUAUGGAGAGUUUUCUCCUCCAGCAUUCCAUGCUGAUUUCCCUGUAAGCUUUUGGUGCAACUGGACAAUCUGGGCAGGCUCCAGGAAGCACAUCAUAAUUUAUAUCCAGGGAUUCAUCGCUAAGGAUGCUUGCAACAAAAAUGAGGACAAAAUUCUGUUUGAAGGCGUAUCCUCCC